AAUGUGUGAGGUGGUGCUAUGUAGCAGGAACCCCUCUUGCUUUGCAAAUAGUUUUUUGUUUGUUUUCCUUUUUGCCCAAUAGAGCCCUGCUCUACUGACCCUUCAAUGUGCCCGUGUGCCUAAAUAUUCCUGGUCGUGUGAAAAGAACCCAGGUAUUAGCUGAACUAAGGAGCACAAUUCUGCAACAUUUUGGCACCCAAACACGGGGCUUGAGAAAUGAAUGCAAUUGGAGAAACUGGUUGUUUUACCAGGCGUUGAUUGGAAAUGUGUGCUUCCCUUUAAGCAGUCAAGCUCAACUUGCAGAACUGAUGGGAACCCCUUGGGAAAACUGGCCUCAAAUGUUUGUCUACACAGUCCACAUACAGGGUUCUUAACCUGCGAUGAGGGAAACUUCCCAGGGCUUGUCUGGGUAUGCCCACAGUGGACUGGAGCCCAAAAUGCACACUGGAGGAAGUGGAUGGAGCCACGUGGAUGUCAUGCCUUAUGCAGGGGAGGAGCCUGCUCUCUUCAGCUCCUGUGGUAAUGUGGGAAUCGAUCUGUGAGCAUAUUUAACUAUCCGGCUAUUUUGGAGAUUGAAAAAAGAAGACCUGAUUUAUCAUGUGCAAUAUCUCACACAUCUGUCAUUUCUAUUCUACCGCAAUUCGAUGGAGUCUUGUUCUGUGGUCCAGGCUAGAGGGCAGUGGCAUGAUCUCGGCUCACUACAAGCUCUGCCUCCCGGGUUCACGCCAUUCUCCUGCCUCAGCCUCCUGAGUAGCUGGGACUACAGGCGCCCGCCACCACGCCUGGCUAAUUUUUUGUAUAUUUACUAGAGAUGGCUAGUGUUAGCCAAGAUGGUCUCGAUCUCCUGACCUCGUGAUCUGCCCACCUCAGCCUGCCAAAGUGCUGGGAUUACUGGCGUGAGCCACCGUGCCUGGCCAGCAUCCUCUAAUUAUUAUUCAUAGUUUGUGAAUUUAGGCCUACGUGAAUAAUAAUAUAAUAUUUACUAUGAUGUUACUAUCUACCAACCUUAUUUUUCUUUUCUAUAAAAUAGGAGCCAAAAUAAUAUUUAUGUCAUACCUUAUGAAGUUAAAAUAAAAUAUAACGAAUGAGGGGCUUAA
rnacentral:lncRNA from 1 species